rnacentral:rRNA from 1 species
UCGCGAAAACUUUGCAAUACACGAAAGUGUGACAGGGCUAUCCCGAGUGCCAUCCGCUGAGGAAGGCUUUUACCCAGUCUAGAACGCUGGGGGAAUAAGGAGAGGGCAAGUCUGGUGUCAGCCGCCGCGGUAAUACCAGCUCUCCGAGUGGUGUGGAUGUUUAUUGGGCCUAAAGCAUCCGUAGCUGGCUAGGUAAGUCCCUUGUUAAAUCCACCGAAUUAAUCGUUGGAUCGCGGGGGAUACUGCUUGGCUAGGGGACGAGAGAGGCAGACGGUAUUUUUGGGGUAGGGGUGAAAUCCUAUAAUCCCAGGAAGACCACCAGUGGCGAAGGCUGUCUGCUAGAACGCGCCCGACGGUGAGGGAUGAAAGCUGGGGGAGCGAACCGGAUUAGAUACCCGGGUAGUCCCAGCUGUAAACGAUGCAGACUAGGUGUUUGGACGGCCACGUGCCGUUCUAGUGCCGCAGGGAAGCUGUUAAGUCUGCCGCCUGGGGAGUACGAUCGCAAGAUUGAAACUUAAAGGAAUUGGCGGGGG